GUCCCUUCAGGAUGGCACCUGGAGAGUUUCCAGUACUUUACCAGUCUCAGCUAUGGGAGGGAGAGUCAAGCAGAGGUCUACUCAUUCUAUUCCUAGCUUGGAUAGUGGCUAGUGAGGGGAAGGCAAUCUGCUAUAAAU